GAUGAAGAACGCAGCGAAAUGCGAUAAGUAUUGUGAAUUGCAGAAUCCAGUGAAUCAUCGAAUCUUUGAACGCACAUUGCGCCCCCCAGUAUUCUGGCGGGCAUGCCUGUUCGAGCGUCAUUUCAACCAUCAAGCCCUGCUUGUGUUGGGGUCCUGCGGCUGCCCGCAGGCCCUGAAAACCAGUGGCGGGCUCGCUAGUCACACCGAGCGCAGUAGCACAUCUCGCUCAGGGCGUGCGGCGGGCUCCAGCCGUUAAAGCACCCACCUUUCGCAAGGUUGACCUCGGAUCAGGUAGGAAUACCCGCUGAACUUAAGCAUAUCAAUAAGCGGAGGA
rnacentral:misc_RNA from 1 species